rnacentral:rRNA from 1 species
UACGUAGGGUGCAAGCGUUGUCCGGAAUUAUUGGGCGUAAAGAGCUUGUAGGCGGUUUGUCGCGUCUGCUGUGAAAUUUCGGGGCUCAACCCCGGACUUGCAGUGGGUACGGGCAGACUAGAGUGUGGUAGGGGAGACUGGAAUUCCUGGUGUAGCGGUGGAAUGCGCAGAUAUCAGGAGGAACACCGGUGGCGAAGGCGGGUCUCUGGGCCGAUACUGACGCUGAGGAACGAAAGCGUGGGGAGCGAACAGG